rnacentral:rRNA from 1 species
GGCGGAGCAUGUGGAUUAAUUCGAUGCAACGCGAAGAACCUUACCUGGGUUUGACAUGCACAGGACGACUGCAGAGAUGUGGUUUCCCUUGUGGCCUGUGUGCAGGUGGUGCAUGGCUGUCGUCAGCUCGUGUCGUGAGAUGUUGGGUUAAGUCCCGCAACGAGCGCAACCCUUGUCCUAUGUUGCCAGCGGGUUAUGCCGGGGACUCGUAGGAGACUGCCGGGGUCAACUCGGAGGAAGGUGGGGAUGACGUCAAGUCAUCAUGCCCCUUAUGUCCAGGGCUUCACACAUGCUACAAUGGCCGGUACAAAGGGCUGCGAUGCCGUGAGGUGGAGCGAAUCCUUUCAAAGCCGGUCUCAGUUCGGAUCGGGGUCUGCAACUCGACCCCGUGAAGUCGGAGUCGCUAGUAAUCGCAGAUCAGCAACGCUGCGGUGAAUACGUUCCCGGGCCUUGUACACACCGCCCGUCACGUCAUGAAAGUCGGUAACACCCGAAGCCGGUGGCCUAACCCCUUGUGGGAGGGAGCCGUCGAAGGUGGGAUCGGCGAUUGGG